AACAAUUGUCUUAACAAAAAAUGAGAAUGAGAUAAAUUAAGCAAAGAAAUAAUAGUAAAAUAAAAAUAAAUAGAUAAACAAAAAUCACCUAGAAUAGAUAAAAAGAAAGGCUACAAUUUUGGUGUCUACACCAGUUUCAACAAGUACUCAAGGGAAAGUUAAAAAUAGUUGUCUAGAGCAGGAUUGAUGGAGUACAAAUGCAAAAACUACAAAGAAAAAAGGCCACAACAAUAGAAGGUGUCCCAAAAAUACAGAUGCAGCAAAUGGCAAUGGAGGAGUAGCAGCUGUUACACAUAAUGUUGUUGGUAAUCAACAUGAGCAAGGAGCCACACGCCAGAGAGAUAAUGAGGCAGCAAGUCGUCCACAUGAGGCAGCAAAUGGUCCACCAAAUGAAGAGUUUUAUCUAUAAAAACAACAACAUGUUUACCUGCCUCAAUAUUCCACUAUUGGUCCAGACACACAUUCUUACUUCACACUUGAACUAAUGGUUGGAACAAGUGCCCACUUUACUAGUAUAAGUGAUGAGCUUCUGAUUGAUCUCAUCAAUCAGGUACCAUGUGAACCAACAAGGAGCCAGCCAUCUACUCAACCUGAAACAACAGAGACUUGUCCCUUUCCAGCUAACACUCUUUUUCUUGAUACUAAUUUGGUUUGUAGAUUUAUUGCAUGAUUAACUAAUAUUAGUUACUUGUUUCCUCUUGUUCUUAAUCAUGGUCAGGGUAAGAAAGUGAAGUGGAGUUGUGGAGUAUGUCGAAAACUAGGGCACACUCGAAAUAAUUGUGCCUCUACAUUGGCUGCUCUUUAUAGGAGGGCCCCUUAUGAACCACGUGGUUUGCCUCUAUGUUGUAUUCUUUUGCUUGGCCAUUAAACUUCACAUUUUUUUAUAGUAUCCAGUGGUUUUUACCUCAUUGGUCAUUUUCAUUUUUAUGUUCAGAGGCCUGAGAAUGCAAAAACUGCUACUACAAAGAAUGGUUCUACUACAAAGACCACUGCUGCUACAAAGAAGGAUUGAAUGGUUCUGCUACAAAGAAAGCUAUUACUGCAAAAUUAGACAUCUUAUGUCCUUUUGUGUAGUUCAUUUUUUUUUUUGGGAAACAACUAGUGCCUUUUUUACUAGGAUUGACCUCAAUAGAUUUUGAUCAACUUCUGACUUGUAUUUUAUGAAAGACAUGGACAAAUGGUUGAAUUGUGUUAUUAUGUGAGCUGUUUUGAUGGUUUUUUUUAGAGCAAUAAAAUUGAUCCAAAAUGUUAUUUAUACGGUCAUCCAUGUUAAUAUCCAUUGCUUCUUUAUUAUUGUUCAAGCUCAGAUUUCUAAAGAAUUCAUGAUCACUUUGGGCAACACAUGCAAGAUUUCAAACUCUGAUGUAAUUUGGAAAUUGUUAAACAAAGUACUUCAUUCCAAUGCUGCUGCAAAAGUACAUGUCGCGCCCCAUUUUUUAAAAGAAAAAUAAGAUUACGAGUUUGUAAAAUGGAUUUUGAUCGAUUUUUGAUUGAAAAUGAAUUUUUGAUUAAUUUUGAAUAAAAUGAAUUUUUGAUUUGUAGAGAAAAAUAAAGAAAAAGAACCUAAUAAUGGGACUUAAAGUGCGACGAUUUUGGUCCAAAAUAAUAGUUUAAAAAGGGUUUUUAAUAAAUAAUAGGAAUCGCUACUUGCUAUU
rnacentral:lncRNA from 1 species